CCUUACCGUAAGACUCUAUAAGCCAAAAAUUUGCCUCCCAAGUGAUUUCCAUAAAUUUUUUUAUGAACUUCUCAAAGUGCAUAGUCACAUCUGCUGGUCUCAAGCACUUCAGUCAGAAAAGAGAAAAUGAUCUUUUAUAAAGUUGGUCAUUCAUCAAAAUAUAUUGCGAGGCCAUCCAUCUAAAUUGUUUGGCUUCUGAAGGAUUUGCAGGUAGAGUUUCAUCAGUCAAGUACUGG
rnacentral:lncRNA from 1 species